rnacentral:rRNA from 1 species
UACGGAGGGGGCAAGCGUUAUUCGGAAUCAUUGGGCGUAAAGGGCGCGUAGGCGGCUUGGCAAGUCAAAGGUGAAAUCCCUCGUCCUAACCGAGGAACUGCCUUUGAUACUGCUUGGCUUGAGGCCGGGAGAGGGUAGCGGAAUUCCCAGUGUAGCGGUGAAAUGCGUAGAUAUUGGGAGGAAUACCAGUGGCGAAGGCGGCUACCUGGACCGGUUCUGACGCGGAGACGCCAAAGCGUGGGGUGCAAACAGG